rnacentral:rRNA from 2 species
UACGUAGGGAGCAAGCGUUGUUCGGAUUUACUGGGCGUAAAGGGCGCGUAGGCGGCAACUCAAGUCAUCUGUGAAAUCUCCGGGCUUAACUCGGAACGGUCAGAUGAUACUGUUUUGCUAGAGUGCAGAAGGGGCAAUCGGAAUUCUUGGUGUAGCGGUGAAAUGCGUAGAUAUCAAGAGGAACACCUGAGGUGAAGACGGGUUGCUGGGCUGACACUGACGCUGAGGCGCGAAAGCCAGGGGAGCAAACGGG